rnacentral:lncRNA from 1 species
GGAUUUUGUCUGCCCAACCAGCGUAAUACCUCAGGGUUUUUAUGACUCCUUGAAGAUCUACGUAGAAGGCUUGCAGGAAUGGUUUGCCACUGUUCAGUGAUUCCAUAGUAGCAAGAACUGCCCUGUCUCUUUCAACCAAGUCUGCCAGUUUAUCCAAAAGUUGGCCUCUUUCCGAUGCAUCCAUUCUCCUCCAAACUGAACCCAGAGAAAAAGCAAGGCGAGCUGCUCUCACUGCCUUGUCCGUGUCAACCUUGUCUGCUUCCUGGAUCUCACAGAUCUGCUCUCCUGUUGCUGGAUUGUAUACUGGGAAUACUCUCCCGCUUUCAGAAUUUUGCCACUCAUUAUUGAUAAAAAUCUUCGUGUGUUUGAUUUCAAGGUUGAGAGUGGGAGAAGGCAGCAGAUGCAGAGAUGCCAUCAGAGCGGCAGGAUCUGCCUUCACCUCCCCUGGCAUCUCAAUUUUACUGGAAGUCAUAGUCUCGGGGGGGAUACGGAGCAGCCGAGCCCCCCGCUCUGACCCGAUGUGCUGCGCUUUGGGCUGUUCCCCCCC